UCAAACUUGGUCAUUUAGAGGAAGUAAAAGUCGUAACAAGGUUUCCGUAGGUGAACCUGCGGAAGGAUCAUUAGUAAAUGCUUAGGCCUUUAUCGGCCUGAGCUUUCUAAUACUUCAUACACCUGUGCACCUUGUCCCCCAGAGGGGACAUUUUAUAUAACAAACAUGAAAGUAAUGAAUGUAAAUAUACUAAAACAAAAUACAACUUUCAACAACGGAUCUCUUGGCUCUCGCAUCGAUGAAGAACGCAGC
rnacentral:misc_RNA from 1 species